GCUCUGGGCUGGUGCCACGGGCGGGCACAGCUCUGAGCUGGUGUCAGGAACAGCUCUGAGCUGGUGCCAUGGUCAGGCACAGCUCUGGGCUGGUGCCACAGGCGGGCACAGCUCGUGGGGAGGCAGGGAUGCCCGGGUCAGACACGGCGUUGGCUUCACGUCGCAGUGAAAGGGGUUUGGGGGCUGUUUGUCGGGGUCUUUACUUUGUUGGGGGCUUGGGGUUAUUUUAUUAUUAUAUUCUAUUUUUUUUUGUCCGGGUCAUUAUCCUUUAUUCCCCCCCCAGACUGUAGUAUCUGGUAAACUCCUCCUAAUUUUCAAAAGACAACGAGAAGAAUGACAAUCUAAGAAACCAACACCCUCCUUUGUGCUUCUAUAAAUAUGUUUCUGAUCUAAUUUUAUUUCUCGUGCUCAUCUGUACUGUUGACAGUUACAAUUGUGUAUAAUUUUUUUUUUUUAUUUGGAAUUUUUGCGUUGUAUAGGGUUUAGUUUUAAAAUAUAUAUAUAUUUUCCAUUUUUUAAAAAGGGGUGUUGCAAAAAAAAAAAAUUGCACGAUUUAAAUGACAAUAGUUAAAAUGCUGCAGUUUUUAGAGAUGUGGAAGCAAAAUGGAGCUUAUUUAUUCUCAAAGGCUAUAAAGGUGUAAAAUGCAUGAAGAAAAAAAAAAAAAAGCAUUUACAAAAAAAAAAAAAAAAAGACAAAAAAAGUGUAACCUGAACAAAGUGUAGCGUUAAAGAUUUUAAAGGAUGACAACAACAAGGAAAAAAAAGAAAAAAAAACCAACAAAAAAACAGCUAAUAUAUUGUGUUUGGGCUAGUUUGCUUUUGUUUUUAAUUGUUCCUUUUUUUGGAGAAUGAAAUACAUUUGUGUAUAUUUUCAUAUAAGAAGUAUGCACUGAGAUGUUUCCAAACUGAUAUAUUCCUUUCUAAACGUGUGGUUACUUACCAAAGUCUGUUUCUGAUCUUUACCUUCUAAACUCUCUGUGGAUCCUCCCAGCCCGCACCUGAGCCCAGGUAAGGCGGGGUGGGGGGCACUGGCACGGCCCCCCCUCCCCGCGGGGUGCCAGGGGUGCCAGGGGGCUGAGCCAGGGGGGGGCUGGCACACGUGGGGGCUGUGACCCCCGGCCUGGGAAGGCUGGUCUUUCCCGGGGCUUGGCAAAGCUGGUUUUUGGGGCGUGUGUGCCGGGUUUUGGGGUGGCAGUGCCGGGUUUUGGGGUGGCAGUGCCCGGUUUUGGGGUGCCCGUGCCCGGUUUUGGGGUGGCUGUGGGGCUGGGCCGGUGCCAGGAGCAGCGUGGUGGGCACAGGGGCAGAGCAGGGGGGGGGGGGGUUCAUCCCUGGGGGGCACGGAGCUCUGCCCGCCGUGUGCUGGGAUGGCCGAGGUGUGCUCAGAGAGGAGGAGGAGGAGGAGGAAGGGAGGAAGAAGGUCACAGGGUGUGGCUCAGGUGAUGCUGCUGCUGGCAGCUGUGGGAGCAAGGAUGGGGUGGGAAGUCACCUGCCCAGCCCUGGAGGAGAUUCGGGGAUGGAGCAGGACCCCCCCUAAAUGAUGGAUGGAAUCUAAAACAGUGGGAAGGGCACCGAAAGGGGCCUGAAAUCCUGCCAGGGUGCAGUGAGGAUGAGGAUGGAUCAGUGGGGAUGGUCCUGCCCGCUCUGGGGGCUGUGCAGGUGCUCAGCUCUGCUCAGAUGGUCAGCUGGGAUCGGGUGGUCAGCACAGGGACAGGGUGACCCCUGCUCGGGGUUGUUUUGGGGGGCAGCAGAGAGCCUGGCUGUGCAGGAUGUUGGGAUGAGGGGUGCUGGGGGCAGGCUGGCAGUGGUUGUGGUGCCCCACGGGGGUUGUGGCCGUGGCAGGGAGGCUCUGGGGGUCCCUUUUGGGGGUUUUGUUGCUGUGCUGUGUCGAGGCCACUGCCAGGGCUGGGGGCUGAGGGCAGUGCAGGUGUUAAAUCCAGAGCUGGUGGCGAUGGGCCGUGCGUGGGCCUGGGGGAAAGUGGGGCAAAGAGAAAGAACGUGUUUCCUUUUCCUUCCCCCUUUUUCACUUCCCUCUUCCUCCCCAGAAUAAUUUCAGCAAACCAAGGAAAAAGCAAAUUUACACAAAAAAAACUCCACCUUUUCCCUGAAAAUUUCACCUCCUACACUUUUUUCUCCCCUUGUGUUGCUUGGUUGGGGGAUUUCCCCCCAUCACUUUGGGUGUGAAUUGGGAUUUUGGGAUGUUUUUUCACCGCUUCUGGGGACAAAGCUGUGAGCUGCUGCUGCCAGCCCAGAGCUUGGCUGGGCUGAGGGGCCCUUGGUGCUCUGGGGGUCCCCUCUGCCCUCCCAGGGAGAGCAUCCAUCAGGUGGGCAAGGAGCAUCUUGCCAGCCACUCCUUGGCUGCCACAUCCUGCCUCCCAUCUCUCCAGCUGGGGGCACAAUUUGGGGAUGUUUUGGGGAUUUUCACCGCCCAAAGUGGUGAAAAUUCAGCCCCAUCCACCUCUCCUGGGCUGUGGGAGAGUGUCAAACAGUGGGCUUCGUUCAGCUGAUGGUUUGCUCUGGUUUCCCUUUCCCAUGUCCAUCCUUUUAUUCGACCUUCUCACUUCACUUUUCUCUCUUUUUUUUUUCUUUUUCUCUUUUCCUUCCCACAAAAAAAAAAAACCCCAACCACACCCAUAAACCAAGUAUUAUGUUUUCACUACCUCCAUCCAUCACCCUUCCUUGUCCAGUGCAGGAAGCCACACUCGGGAUGUAAGAGGGCCUCUCCCCCUUUGUUUUUCCCUUUGCCCUGGUGAUUUUCUCUCCCCUCUGUCCUUCUGCCUCUCCUCUCUCUGGUCUCACCUGUAGUAUUUUACCUGGCUACUGUAACUGUAAAUAGCGAGUUUCAAUCUGUUAGCAAUGGUAACAGUACAGAAAACUGGUUUUGGGGUUUUUUUUGGUUUUUUUUUUUUUUUUUUUUUGUUUUUUUUUUUUCCGUUGUAUUGAUAUGAAAUGAGAUUAUAUUUUUGUCAGAGUAUAUUGUAAUAAUACUGACUUUGGACAUGGCCGAGUUGUACAGCGAUUUCUUGUUUAUCCCUCUUGGCUCUUCCCGUGCACCCCUCCCCGGGCUCCCUGCUCCCCAAAUUCCCGUGUCCCAGGUCCUGGGGCAGGAGCAGCCGUUCCCAUGUCCCAGGUCCUGGGGCGAUGGCUCCGUUCCAGGGCUGCUUUUCCACAGGGUUCCCAACACGCUGGCGUGUCCCCCCGUGCCCCCGGGGAGCUCCGCAGCACCCGGGGGUGACUCCGGUGACCCUUGGGAAUGGGGUGUGCAGGGAUGCUCCGGGCAGCAGUCAGGGUCCUUCCAGCUCCCCUCUUCUCCCAGCCAGGGGAAAUCCCGGGUACUUCCCAGAUUCUUCCUCCCGAGCUCCGAUCCCUGGAGCGAUCCUGCUUGGAACGUGCUUGACUUGAGCCAGAAGAGGGUGGUGUGGCUCAGGCUGCGCCAGGAGCGGCUCCAAACGGGCUGGGAAGGUUUUCAGGAUUGAGGGAUUGGAAAUAUCCCCCUGGAUGGGAAGGUUUUGGGAUUGAGGGAUUGGAAAUGUCCCCCAGGCUGGGAAGGUUUUCAGGACUGAGGGAUUGGCAGUAUCCCCCAGGCUGGGAAGGUUUUAGGGACCGAGGGGUUGGCAAGGUCCCCCAGGCUGGGAAAGUUUUUGGGAAUUGAGGGAUUGGCAAUAUCCCCCAGGCUGGGAAGGUUUUUGGGACCGAGGGGUUGACAAGAUCCCCAGGCUGGGAAGGUUUUUGGGAUUGAGGGAUUGACAAGAUCCCCCAGGCUGGGAAAGUUUCAGGAACUGAGGGAUUGACAAUAUCCCCCAGGCUGGGAAGGUUUUUGGGAUUGAGGGAUUGGCAAUAUCCCCCAGGCUGGGAAGGUUUUUGGGAUUGAGGGAUUGGCAAUAUCCCCCAGGCUGGGAAGGUUUUGGGAUUGAGGGACUGGCAAUAUCCCCAGCCUGUCGCCCCUGGGUGGGAUGAGUGGCUGUGUCUCCCCCAGCCCCCCACAUCCACCCCGGGCCACGGGCACCCCCAGCAUUGUCUGGGGGACAGAGCAGGGUUUCCUCACUUCGGGUGGGUUUUCAGAGUGGGAUUUUCAUGCCGGUGCCACUGAGACGGGCCCAGCUCCUCCCUCUCCAGGCCUGAGCCCACCUCAGAGCUGCAGGAACAUCCCCAGGCGCUCUCCUGAGACCCUGCUGGGAUGUCCCCAAGGCCCAGGGGUGAAGCAGCCCACCUCGGGCCAUGACUCCCCUCAUCCCCACGGCUCUUUCCAAGCAUUUGCAGGCACAUCAGCUGCUGGAGAGGUGGGGACCAUGGUGGCCCGGCUGCUGCUCCCUCCUCCUGUCCCUCACGACAGGGUCAGGUCCUCAUUUUCCCCCGUCCCUUUGCUCCCCUGGCUCCCCGUAGCUCAGUUAAGCAGGUAGGUGUUAGCAAAACUCCGGGGUGUCUGCGAAAACUUUUGUCAAAUAGAAUAGACCCUUGAAACGAUGCACUAAAAGUAAAAAUCCUAAAUGCCCCCCCUCUGUCGGCUUCUUCUGUGUGAUGGUUCCUUGGAUGUCCCCGCUCAGCCCGGCUGUACCGGCACAGGCAGCUCUGCAUCCUCCCCCCAGGGUGCUGCACAGGUAGAAACAAACCAGGACGUGCACUUCCCUCCCCCCCGAGGAGUUUUAUUUAUUGUUUUGAGAAGCAAUUUAAAAGGGAAAAAAAAAAAAAAAACCAAACAAAAAAGAAAAAAAAAAAACAAAACCAACAAAAAAAGAGAAACUGUAUCUAUAAUAUAUAUAUAUAUACAUAUAUAUAUAUUUUUAACCUCUUUUUUUUUUUUUUUCCUGAUGCUCCUCCAGCCGUGUGUGUGGGUGUGUGUGUGUGUGUGCGAGUCAAGGGACCGGGGCGCCCCUUUUGGGCGGCUCUUGUGGGGCAGCCGCGGCCGCAGCAGCAGCGGGACCGGGGCGUCCCUGCCCGGGAGCGGCAGGGGGAGGGCAGGGACGGUUGAUGGCGAGCGUCUGGGAUGUUUGAACCGGGAUCUUCGGCUAGUUCCACCUUUCUCUGAAGCGUUUGCACCCCCGGGGGUCUGGCCUGACUGGGAUCCUCCCGCGCCCUGGGGACGCCAUCCCCGCUCCCUGUCCCCUGUCCCCUCCCUGCCUUGCUCCCUUGACAAUCAGUGGCUCCUUCCCAGGGACUGCAGCACGUGGUUGAGACGUCGGUUUCGUUUUUUCAAUAUUCCUUUUUUUGUGCUGUAUGGUGAUGCGUUAUUGUAUAUUCCACCAUAAGGAAAAAAAAAUAUAUUAAAAAAAAAUGAUGAUGAUGAUAAUAAUAAUAAUUACCAUGAGAAAUUCUUAUGAGUUUUGUUUGGAAACUCUUUCACUAUAUUUGUUGUAAAGAGGUUUACUAUUAAAAAGAAAAAAAAAAUACACGUUUCUGAUAAUUUUC